rnacentral:rRNA from 1 species
UACGAAGGGGGCUAGCGUUGCUCGGAAUCACUGGGCGUAAAGCGCACGUAGGCGGCUUCUUAAGUCAGGGGUGAAAUCCUGGAGCUCAACUCCAGAACUGCCUUUGAUACUGAAGAUCUUGAGUCCGGGAGAGGUGAGUGGAACUGCGAGUGUAGAGGUGAAAUUCGUAGAUAUUCGCAAGAACACCAGUGGCGAAGGCGGCUCACUGGCCCGGUACUGACGCUGAGGUGCGAAAGCGUGGGGAGCAAACAGG